rnacentral:rRNA from 1 species
GAUGAACGCUGGCGGCGUGCCUAAUACAUGCAAGUCGAGCGAACAGACGAGGAGCUUGCUCCUCUGACGUUAGCGGCGGACGUGUGAGUAACACGUGGAUAACCUACCUAUAUUACUGGUAUAACUUCGGGACACCGGAUCUAAUCCCAGAUAAUAUAUUCAACCUCAUGGGUCCAUAGUUAAAGGCUCUUUUGCUGUCAGUUAUACAUGGAGCCUCGCCGCAUUAUUUAGUUGGUAAGGUAACGGCUUACCAACGCUACGAAGCGUAGCCGACCUGAGAGGGUGAUCGGCCACACUGGAACUGAGACACGGUCCAGACUCCUAGGGGAGGCCGCAGUAGGGAAGCGUCCACAAUGGGCGAAAGCCUGACGGAGCGAUGCCGCGUGAGUGAUGAAGGUCUUCGGGUCGUAAAGCUCUGUUCUUAGGGAAGAAAAAAUGUGUCAGAAACUAUGCACGUCUUGACGGUACCUAAUCAAGAAGCCCCGGCUAACUACGUG